CUACUAGUAUAAAAAGUCACAGAAAUAGAUGAUAUUUGUGCAACUAACUCACAAAGGAAGCAAUUCAUUAGACCCAGCGGUGAGAGGCUGUCUGUGGUCAGAUCCCUGUCUGCUUUCAUAAUGGAAAAAAAAAUCCCAAUUGGCUCCAUUCGAUAACCAAAAUGUAACUGUUUGGGUUAUUCACGAAAGUGUCACCUGAUGGAAUUAAAAAAAUGUAAAAUAAAUAAUAGGCCAAAAUAGUGACGAC